rnacentral:rRNA from 1 species
AGUUAUCCAACUCCCAACCCAUGUGAACUUAUCUCUUGUUGCCUCGGCGCAAGCGACCCGGGCCCAGCCCGGGGCGCCCGCCGGCGGACACACCAAACUCUGUUAUCUUCGUUGAUUAUCUGAGUGUCUUAUUUAAUAAGUCAAAACUUUCAACAACGGAUCUCUUGGUUCUGGCAUCGAUGAAGAACGCAGCGAAAUGCGAUAAGUAAUGUGAAUUGCAGAAUUCAGUGAAUCAUCGAAUCUUUGAACGCACAUUGCGCCCAUUAGUAUUCUAGUGGGCAUGCCUGUUCGAGCGUCAUUUCAACCUCUAAGCACAGCUUACUGUUGGGAAUCUACGUCUGUAGUUCCUCAAAGACAUUGGCGGAGCGGCAGUAGUCCUCUGAGCGUAGUAAUUUUUUAUCUCGCUUCUGUUAGGCGCUGUCGUCCCGGCCGUUAAACCCCCAAUUUUUUCUGGUUGACCUCGGAUCAGGUAGGAAU